CUACGGGGGGCUGCAGUGGGGAAUAUUGCACAAUGGGCGCAAGCCUGAUGCAGCCAUGCCGCGUGUGUGAAGAAGGCCUUCGGGUUGUAAAGCACUUUCAGCGGGGAGGAAGGCGGUGAGGUUAAUAACCUCAUCGAUUGACGUUACCCGCAGAAGAAGCACCGGCUAACUCCGUGCCAGCAGCGGCGGUAAUACGGAGGGUGCAAGCGUUAAUCGGAAUUACUGGGCGUAAAGCGCACGCAGGCGGUCUGUCAAGUCGGAUGUGAAAUCCCCGGGCUCAACCUGGGAACUGCAUUCGAAACUGGCAGGCUAGAGUCUUGUAGAGGGGGGUAGAAUUCCAGGUGUAGCGGUGAAAUGCGUAGAGAUCUGGAGGAAUACCGGUGGCGAAGGCGGCCCCCUGGACAAAGACUGACGCUCAGGUGCGAAAGCGUGGGGAGCAAACAGGAUUAGAUACCCGAGUAGUC
rnacentral:rRNA from 1 species